CCUACGGGAGGCAGCAGUGGGGAAUUUUGGACAAUGGGCGAAAGCCUGAUCCAGCCAUGCCGCGUGAGUGAAGAAGGCCUUCGGGUUGUAAAGCUCUUUCAGCCGGAAAGAAAUCGCGCAGGCUAAUACUCUGCGUGGAUGACGGUACCGGAAGAAGAAGCACCGGCUAACUACGUGCCAGCAGCCGCGGUAAUACGUAGGGUGCGAGCGUUAAUCGGAAUUACUGGGCGUAAAGCGUGCGCAGGCGGUUAUAUAAGACAGAUGUGAAAUCCCCGGGCUCAACCUGGGAACUGCGUUUGUGACUGUAUGACUAGAGUACGGCAGAGGGAGGUGGAAUUCCGCGUGUAGCAGUGAAAUGCGUAGAUAUGCGGAGGAACACCGAUGGCGAAGGCAGCCUCCUGGGCCAGUACUGACGCUCAUGCACGAAAGCGUGGGGANCAAACAGGAUUAGAUACCCUGGUAGUCCACGCCCUAAACGAUGUCAACUAGUUGUUCGGUGAGGAGACUCAUUGAGUAACGCAGCUAACGCUGAAGUUGACCGCCUGGGGAGUACGGCCGCAAGGUUAAAACCNCGAAAGGAUUGACGGCNGAGAGNGCGAGGCGACGACGAGGGAGGAGG
rnacentral:rRNA from 1 species